GUGGGGAAUAUUGGACAAUGGGCGCAAGCCUGAUCCAGCCAUGCCGCGUGAGUGAUGAAGGCCUUAGGGUUGUAAAGCUCUUUUGUCCGGGAAGAUAAUGACUGUACCGGAAGAAUAAGCCCCGGCUAACUUCGUGCCAGCAGCCGCGGUAAUACGAAGGGGGCUAGCGUUGUUCGGAAUCACUGGGCGUAAAGCGCACGUAGGCGGACCAUUAAGUCAGGGGUGAAAGCCUGGAGCUCAACUCCAGAACUGCCUUUGAUACUGAUGGUCUCGAGUAUGGAAGAGGUUGGUGGAACUGCGAGUGUAGAGGUGAAAUUCGUAGAUAUUCGCAAGAACACCGGUGGCGAAGGCGGCCAACUGGUCCAUUACUGACGCUGAGGUGCGAAAGCGUGGGGAGCAAACAGGAUUAGAAACCCUAGUAGUCC
rnacentral:rRNA from 1 species